rnacentral:rRNA from 1 species
UAGUCCUACGGGAGGCAGCAGUGGGGAAUAUUGCACAAUGGGGGAAACCCUGAUGCAGCAACGCCGCGUGAGUGAAGAAGUAUUUCGGUAUGUAAAGCUCUAUCAGCAGGGAAGAAGAUGACGGUACCUGACUAAGAAGCCCCGGCUAACUACGUGCCAGCAGCCGCGGUAAUACGUAGGGGGCAAGCGUUAUCCGGAUUUACUGGGUGUAAAGGGAGCGUAGACGGCGGUGCAAGCCAGAUGUGAAAGCCCGGGGCUCAACCCCGGGACUGCAUUUGGAACUGUAUGGCUGGAGUGUCGGAGAG